rnacentral:misc_RNA from 1 species
AAAGAAUCAAGGGAUAGUAUAGUGUGUCGAGUAUGACAAGAGAACGAGUUACCAAAAUCUCGAGCUAACCUAACCAACCUGAGGUCUACCAAUUUGACCAUUUACGAGCCGGUCACACCCACUCAUGGUUUCCGCAGAAUGCAAUUGCAUCACUCCCAUAAAACCAUUGUGAAACUUUGCACCAUCAAAUUGGAAUUGCAGGCAGAAGCCCUAGUAUUCACAGGAGCAAAUCUCUCUCAAGCUUCACAUGAUAAAAAGUUCUGUUGUUCUGCACAGCUGCCUUGAAUAACGAUGCAAG